ACCAGCUUUUAAGUAAGUAUAUGUUUCCUUUUUCUGUAAACGCAAUAUUAUGUUACAUUGUUUUUUGUGUAUGUAUUUAAAAUAUGUAGUCAUCUUUGGUCUUGCCUAACUAGUCAAGCUAAAGUAGCCUUAUUUACGCACAUGCUGUUUGCCUAUGUUACAGCAAACACAGAGGUUAAGCAAUGUUGCUAGUAGAUGUAGAAAUGUAACUAGCUACAGUAGGUAGCCAGAGCUUUACACUUAGAAAGACUAAGUUAAACUUUUGAUAUUUUCUAACAAAAUAACGAUGUGUAUAGGUAAAGUUAUUUUAGUCCUAAAAAAUGCUGAUAGUACAGUUGCUACUGUACUGGAUUUAAGGUGAUUGUGUUAUUAUGUUUAAGGACAAAUCUGUGUUCACUUGAAUCACUACACUCAAUUAAUAAAUGUUAUUGUUAACAAUUUCACUGUUCCACAUUUGGCUGAUCCCCCCCCACACACACACACACAUUACUGUGUAUUCCUAGUGUUAACAAUGCGGUUUUGUUCACAUUUUCUUGCAGAUACCUUGACCAGAGAAUAACCCGUUAUCUUCACCCAAGAGACUUACUGUUGGGCUAUCAUUUUGGCGUUAAAGCACAGAAGAUAGUGAAGAGGAAGAGGAUUGCCUAAGGACACAAUUGGCAGGGAGGGCUAUUGACAACAUGAUCCCCCAUCAUGAAGGGGUGAGAAUUUUAAUUUAUUGAUUUUGCCUGGAAAU
rnacentral:lncRNA from 1 species